rnacentral:lncRNA from 1 species
AUUGUGUAUUUUUGUACAUAUUUUAUGUUUGUCACAGAUCAUGUUUUUUGAUUUAUAUGGCAAUAAAAUUAUUUGAUUUUGAUUUGAUUUGAUUAAAUAUUUAAUUUAAAGCGACUAUUUUUAUCAUCUUUAUAGGCAUGUUAAAAAUAAAUUCAAAUGUCUGUUGGUCUUCCUUUAAAUCAAGUAUGGAAACAAAUGCUUUUUUUCCCUUCAAAUUAUGGGCAUUGCAGAUAUGAUAAUGUUAAAAGUAUACAUUUUUCAAUAUCAAUCAUUGUCAAUACGGGGAUAUAAAUAUAUCUCAUGAAAUAAUCACAUCCAAACAUUUUUUUAUCAUUUGUUAACCAUUUUUGUCGAGCCUUCGAACCCCCCUUGAAAACAAAUAAGCACUGUUAAAGUCGAUGUUAUGUUCGAAUUGUGACUGUUAAAGUCGAGUUUGUGAGUCAAACGAACCCCCCUUUGGAAAUUCCUGGCUACGGGCCUGGCGAUCCUACAUUCCGUUGUCGUCGGCGGCGUCCACAAAUAUUCCCUCUGUUGUUAAAGUUUUUGAAAUUUUAAUAACUUUCUUAAACUACACUGGAUUUCUACCAAACUUGGACAGAAGCUUGUUUAUGAUCAUAAGAUAGUAUCCAGAAGUAAGUUUUGUAAAAAUAAAAUUCCAUUUUUGCCGUAUUUUACUUAUAAAUGGACUUAGUUUUUCUGCAGGAAAUCAUUCCAUUCAGUCUGUGGUUAAAGUUUUUGAAAUUUUAAUAACUUUCUUAAACUAUCCUGGGUUUGUACCAAACUUGGAUAGAAGCUUGUUUAUGAUUAUAAGAUAGUAUCCAGAACUAAAUUUUGUAAAACAUUAAAUCCAUUUUUUCGGUAUUUUACUUUUAAAUGGACUUAGUUUUUCUGCCAGGAAACAACACAUUCACUCUGUGGUUAAAGUUUUAAAACUUUUAAUAGUUUUCUUAUACUAUUUUUAAUUUGUACCAAACCUGGACAGAAGCUUGUUUAUGAUCAAAAGCUAGUAUCUAGGAGGAGAUUUUGUUCAAUUUUUGUACCUGUGUAUUUUUCUAAUAAAUGGACUUAGUUUUUCUUCUAGUUAACAUUACAUACAGUCUGCAGUUUUAAAAUUAAAAUAACAUAAUAGAUUCAUACCUUCCGGAUUUUUACCAAAAUUUGGAUAGAAGCUUCUAACAAUCAAAAGGAAUAUUUUAUUGAUUGUUUUCCUUUUUUUUU